rnacentral:lncRNA from 1 species
AAAAAAUCAAAUCUUUAGUUUUCUAUCAUAUUCGUAGAAAUAUGUUUUGAUACCGAUCUUUGUUCUUCCUCUUAUUCAUUAUAUUCACAGAACUUUAUGUCUGUUCAAUAACGCUGAAGCAAACAAGUACAAAUAUGAAGAUAUCCCAAGGGGAUUUGUUUGGUGCAGUCAAGAAAAUCAGUAGCAGCAAAGGUCCCUAAAAAAAAAAGCCAAGAAUUCAAUUUUUUUUAUUAAUCCUUAUAAUUGUAUUUUUGUUAUGAUGCAUCUUCAAUUUCUAGGAAAAAAAUAAUGUUUGGUUGUUUUUAUCAAAAUUUUUUUUACAUAUUAUCGUCUAAAAUUUCAAGUUUAAUAAAAUUUACUUUUUACAUUUUUAA